CUACGGGCCGCAGCAGUGGGGAAUAUUGCACAAUGGGCGCAAGCCUGAUGCAGCCAUGCCGCGUGUAUGAAGAAGGCCUUCGGGUUGUAAAGUACUUUCAGCGGGGAGGAAGGGAGUAAAGUUAAUACCUUUGCUCAUUGACGUUACCCGCAGAAGAAGCACCGGCUAACUCCGUGCCAGCAGCCGCGGUAAUACGGAGGGUGCAAGCGUUAAUCGGAAUUACUGGGCGUAAAGCGCACGCGGGCGGUUUGGUAAGUCAGAUGUGAAAUCCCCGGGCUCAACCUGGGAACUGCAUCUGAUACUGGCAAGCUUGAGUGUCGUAGAGGGGGGUAGAAUUCCAGGUGUAGCGGGGAAAUGCGUAGAGAUCUGGAGGAAUACCGGUGGCGAAGGCGGCCCCCUGGACGAAGACUGACGCUCAGGUGCGAAAGCGUGGGGAGCAAACAGGAUUAGAUACCCGUGUAGUC
rnacentral:rRNA from 1 species